AACGUACGCUGGCGGCACGCCUAACACAUGCAAGUCGAACGAAGUAGCAAUACUUAGUGGCAGACGGGUGAGUAACAUGUAGGUAUCUGCCCUUUGGCCUGGAAUAACACGAGGAAACUUGUGCUAAUACCGGAUAAGUCUUUACGGAGAAAGCUUUAUGCACCAUUGGAUGAGCCUGCACUUGAUUAGUUUGUUGGUGGGGUAAUGGCCUACCAAGACUGUGAUCAAUAGCUGAUUUGAGAGGAUGAUCAGCCACAUUGGGACUGAGACACGGCCCAAACUCCUACGGGAGGCAGCAGUGGGGAAUCUUGCACAAUGGAGGAAACUCUGAUGCAGCGAUGCCGCGUGAGUGAAGAAGGCCUUUGGGUUGUAAAGCUCUUUCGUCGGGGAAGAAAAUGACUGUACCCGAAUAAGAAGGUCCGGCUAACUUCGUGCCAGCAGCCGCGGUAAUACGAAGGGACCUAGCGUAGUUCGGAAUUACUGGGCUUAAAGAGUUCGUAGGUGGUUGAAAUAGUUGGUGGUGAAAUCCCAGAGCUUAACUCUGGAACUGCCAUCAAAACUUUUCAGCUAGAGUAUGAUAGAGGAAAGCAGAAUUUCUAGUGUAGAGGUGAAAUUCGUAGAUAUUAGAAAGAAUACCAAUUGCGAAGGCAGCUUUCUGGAUCAUUACUGACACUGAGGAACGAAAGCAUGGGUAGCGAAGAGGAUUAGAUACCCUCGUAGUCCAUGCCGUAAACGAUGUGUGUUAGACGUUGGAAAUUUAUUUUCAGUGUCGCAGGGAAACCGAUAAACACACCGCCUGGGGAGUACGACCGCAAGGUUAAAACUCAAAUGAAUUGACGGGGACCCGCACAAGUAGUGGAGCAUGUGGUUUAAUUCGAAGAUACGCGCAGAACCUUACCAACACUUGACAUGUUCGUCGCGACUCUAAGAGAUUAGAGUUUUCGGUUCGGCCGGACGAAACACAGGUGCUGCAUGGCUGUCGUCAGCUCGUGUCGUGAGAUGUUGGGUUAAGUCCCGCAACGAGCGCAACCCUCACUUUUAGUUGCCAUCAUUAAGUUGGGCACUCUGAAAGAACUGCCAGUGAUAAGCUGGAGGAAGGUGGGGAUGACGUCAAGUCCUCAUGGCCCUUACGUGUUGGGCUACACACGUGCUACAAUGGUAUCUACAACAGGAAGCAAGACUGCGAAGUUAAGCAAAUCCCUAAAAGAUACCUCAGUUCGGAUUGCACUCUGCAACUCGAGUGCAUGAAGCUGGAAUUACUAGUAAUCGUGGAUCAGCGUGCCACGGUGAAUGCGUUCCCGGGUCU
rnacentral:rRNA from 1 species